GAGAGAAGAGAGAUGCCCGGAAGGAAGGAAGGAAGAGGAGGCGGAGGCGGCUCCCGCGGGAGGUCCAGCUCGCACCCGGCCUCUCUUCCAAGGAAGCUCGCUGCCGCCCCUGGCGGAGAGUCGCUCCGCCCCGGCGUCCAAGCACGGGAAUUCUGGGAAUGUUGAGUCAGGGACUGGCAAGCCUGCGAGCUGGGCUGGGAAGGCAGCCUGGCGCUGAGGGGCAGACCAGCGAGGCCAGGGACUGCUGAAGCCUUUUGCUGACUGUCGCAGGUUUUUGCCUCGCCUCGCCUCGCCUCGCCUCGGACCUGUUCGUCGCCUCCUCGCGCCUCCUCUUCGCCACGGGCUGCCAGCGAGGAUGAGAGCGUAGAAGCCCCGCCGAGGAAGGCGCCAGGCGGACGCAAUGAUUUGAAAGAUCUUGAACCUGGAAAAUUGAUUUCAACGAAUGUGUUGCCUUCUGGAAGAGUGCUGUGAAGCUGUUUGCCAACAUUUCCAACUGAAAAUUAAUGCUAGGCAUCCUACUUAAGAGAAGAAUAGUUUCUUGUUAAGUAGUACCUCACAGUAAAAUCAAAAUGUAUGGAAGUGCAAGAACAAUCAGUAACCUGGAAGGCAGUCCUGCCAGAUCUCCACGUUUGCCGCGGUCGCCCCGCCUGGGCCAUCGGCGAACAAGUAGUGGAGGAGGUGGAGGGACAGGUAAAACUUUAUCAAUGGAGAACAUUCAGUCACUUAAUGCUGCCUAUGCAACAUCUGGACCAAUGUAUCUGAGUGACCAUGAAGGUGUGGCAUCUACUACUUUCCCAAAGGGCACAAUGACUCUUGGAAGGGCUACAAAUCGAGCUGUCUACGGUGGACGAGUUACAGCGAUGGGAAGCAGCCCUAAUAUUGCUUCUGUUGGCCUUUCCCAUUCAGAUCUCCUUUCUUAUACUGAUCAGCAUGGAGGGUUGACCACUUCCUCACAUCAUCACCAUCAUCAAAUUCCUUCCAUGCUGAGGCAAGUAAGAGACAGCACCAUGCUAGAUUUACAGGCUCAGCUGAAGGAGUUACAAAGAGAAAAUGACCUUCUAAGGAAAGAGCUAGACAUCAAGGAUAGCAAGCUUGGAUCUUCCAUGAAUAGCAUCAAAACCUUCUGGAGUCCAGAGCUUAAAAAAGAAAGAGUUUUGCGCAAAGAGGAAGCAGCCAGAAUGUCUGUUUUGAAAGAACAAAUGAGGGUUUCCCACGAGGAGAAUCAGGUUUUGGAUGCCAGGAAAACAAAGCAUCUUCAGUUAACAAUUCAGGCGCUCCAAGAUGAACUUCGAACCCAGAGAGACCUUAAUCAUCUCCUUCAGCAAGAAAGUGGCAACCGAGGGGCUGAGCAUUUUACGAUUGAACUGACAGAGGAGAAUUUCCGAAGACUUCAAGCUGAGCAUGAUAGACAGGCAAAAGAGUUGUUUCUCUUGAGAAAAACCUUGGAAGAAAUGGAGCUGAGAAUAGAAACCCAAAAGCAGACACUGAAUGCCAGAGAUGAAUCCAUCAAGAAGCUUCUAGAAAUGCUGCAAAGCAAAGGGCUGCCAUCCAAAGGAAUGGAUGAUGAAAAUGAAAGAACUCGAAGGAUGGCAGAAGCGGAAUCUCAGGUUAAUCAUUUAGAAGUGAUCUUAGACCAGAAAGAGAAGGAAAACAUCCAUCUUAGAGAGGAGUUGCACCGAAGGACACAACUUCAGCCUGAGCCAGCAAAGACAAAAGCUCUUCAAACAGUCAUAGAGAUGAAGACACAACCAUCUUUAUAUAUUGAUCCUGCUGUGGCAUUUCAGGACACAAAAAUAGCUUCCCUGGAACGUAAUAUCAGAGAUCUCGAAGAUGAAAUACAGAUGUUGAAGACAAAUGGAGUUCUGAACACAGAAGAUCGAGAAGAAGAGAUCAAACAAAUAGAAGUUUACAAGAGUCAUUCCAAGUUCAUGAAAAAUAAGAUUGACCAGUUGAAGCAGGAGCUUUCAAAGAAAGAAUCAGAACUUCUUGCCUUACAAACUAAGCUUGAAACCCUUAGCAAUCAGAAUUCAGAUUGCAAGCAACACAUAGAAGUGCUUAAAGAGUCGCUUACUGCCAAAGAACAGAGAGCUGCCAUACUUCAGACAGAGGUUGAUGCCUUGAGAUUACGUUUAGAAGAAAAAGAAAGUUUUCUUAAUAAAAAAACCAAACAACUGCAAGACCUCACAGAAGAAAAAGGAACUCUGGCUGGAGAAAUUCGAGAUAUGAAGGACAUGUUAGAAGUUAAAGAAAGAAAAAUUAAUGUUUUACAGAAAAAGAUUGAAAAUCUUCAGGAGCAACUUAGAGAUAAAGACAAGCAACUAACUAAUUUGAAAGAUCGUGUGAAAUCACUACAGACAGAUUCCAGUAACACAGAUACAGCUCUAGCUACCCUGGAAGAAGCCCUCUCUGAGAAGGAGAGAAUUAUAGAGCGAUUAAAGGAGCAGAGGGAGAGAGAUGACCGUGAAAGAAUUGAAGAGAUUGAAUCCUUCAAAAAAGAAAACAAAGACCUGAAAGAAAAAGUUAAUGCUUUACAAGCAGAGCUGACAGAAAAAGAGUCUAGCUUAAUUGACCUCAAAGAACAUGCAUCAUCGUUGGCUUCAGCAGGGCUGAAAAGAGACUCCAAAUUAAAGGCUUUAGAAAUAGCCAUAGAGCAAAAGAAGGAAGAGUGUAGUAAGCUAGAAGCACAACUGCAAAAGCAAGCUGAACAAUUGUUCAAUCAGAUGUACAAUCCCGCUCACGAAGCUGAGGAAGAAGCUCGGAAGAAUCCCGAAUUUGCUGAUCGAUUGAAGCAGCUUGACAAAGAGGCUGCCUACUAUCGAGAGGAAUGUGGCAAAACCCAAGCCGAGGUGGACAGGCUCCUAGAAAUCCUCAAAGAAGUAGAGAAUGAAAAAAAUGACAAAGAUAAGAAAAUUGCUGAGCUGGAAAGACACAUGAAGGAUCAAAACAAGAAGGUGGCCAAUCUGAAGCACAAUCAACAAAUAGAAAAGAAGAAGAAUGCCCAGUUGCUAGAAGAAGUUCGGAGGCGUGAAGACAAUAUGACAGACAAUGCUCAGCAUUUGCAGUUAGAAGAAUUACGGAAUGCAUUGGAUAAGACCAGGCAAGAACUGGAUGCCACUAAAGCUCGCCUUGCCUCAACACAGCAGUCUCUGGGUGAGAAAGAAGCACAUCUGGCCAAUUUAAGACUAGAACGGAGAAAACAGUUGGAGGAGAUCCUGGAAAUGAAACAGGAAGCAUUGCUUGCUGCCAUUAGUGAAAAAGAUGCAAACAUUGCCUUGCUUGAGCUGUCUGCUUCAAAGAAAAAGAAAACGCAGGAAGAAGUGAUGGCUUUGAAAAGAGAAAAAGACAGAUUGGUCCAUCAGCUAAAACAACAGACUCAGAAUAGAAUGAAACUGAUGGCAGACAACUAUGACGAUGACCAUCAUCACUAUCACCACCAUCAUCACCAUCACCACCACAGAUCUCCUGGAAGGACACACUCCAAUCAUAGACCCUCUCCAGAACAGGAUGAUGAGGAAGGCAUAUGGGCAUAACCGGUUCCUAUAAACCAAAGUUCCAGUUUUGUUUUGAAGGAUGAUCCAGUCACUGUUGGAGGCACAUGGCCACGGCAAAAUCACAUGCAGUACAUUGAUCACCAGUCCAACCUUUGCCUAGAAUGUGAUCCCCAGUUCCUUCAAGAGAUCCAACUUUAUCUGUCUUAAAGAAGAGGAAGAAGGAAUCAUCUGAAAUAACCAAGCAUCAGAGCUUUAACACCAGAGCAGUUAUCAGAGGAGCUGGAGAAAGAAGCAUAUGCAGCACUGAAAGAUGAGAAGAAAAAAAUGUGAUUUACCAGAUUCUGGAUGUGAAUGCCACUCUUGGAACACUGUCCCAGCAAGACUACAGAUGUGGGGAGGGAGCCCAAAAGGUUACCCUUAAAAAUAUGCUGCAUAAAUAAGUGUCUUCUCCAUUAUUUCUUGCAAUCUACUAUGAAGUCAGAUACUUUGGAAAACAAUUAAGGGGACUUGAUCGGAAACCAGAAGAACUUCAUUUCCUUUCAUGGGGGUCACAUGAAUUAUUUCACUAUUUUUAACUGAGUUACUAUCUGCUCUGAACAUUACUAAAACAGUUCAUUGAGAUGUGAUAUUUCAUUUGAUUUCUAUUAUUUUUAAUAUGCAGUUGAAAUUUCAUCUGUUGUAAUGAAAUUUGUAAUGUAACAAAUUUCAUUUGUUGAAAUCUUGAGCUGAUUUCUUCUCGAGUAUCAUUUAGCAUUCAGUUAUUAUAAGUAUUAGAAAACUGUUGCAUAAUGAUGUUCAAAAUAUCAUGUGCCCAGUAAUAUUGGUUUUCAGGGUAACAAAAACUAUACCUUUAUUUUCCUCUUCUUUCUUAUUGUAGUUACCCAUUCUGAUACUGUAACCGCCAGUAUUAAACUCUGGGCCAGGUUGGAAAUGAAAUCAAUAUAUAUAUAUUGGCAUAUGCAAACAUGGUAUGUGUCUCUUACAAUGCAUGGAGCAUCUAACAAUGAAACCUUAUACAUAAGUAUUUAGAAGUAAUUUCCAUUUAACUGAAUGGAGCUUACUUCCAGAGAAUCAUGUAUAGGAUUGUCAGUUAAGCUGUUGAAAAAUUAUUUAUGCAGGGGUCAUUGUAUACCUGGAUGAUAAAAGCUUGAAGGGAGCAUGUGUGCAUACUUUUAUGCACAAGCAUCUAAGGAGAUACAUCAACUCUUAGUCAUCCAAAGGCACAGCACAACAGUCUUUUAUAUAAAAGCUGGGACUCUUACUUUUUAUAAUUGAAAUAAGAUGUCAUGAUUAUUCAAUAUAUGCAGUGAGUCUCCUUUACCGGAAAGGAGCAUUCCACAUUGUUUCCUGAAAAGGGAAGCAAUGCUUUUCAUAACUGAUAUUGCAUUUUCAAUAUUGACAAAAAAAAAAGUAUUGUUAACUUAAAGUUGAUCUCCAUCAUUAAACAGGUUUUGAUAGAUGUGAACAUGUUAAAGCACAUGCCAGGAGGGAGAAAUAAGGUGGGCGGAAGGACCACCUUGAAACUAUUUUGUGUAGUGAGAGAUUAUUAUUUAUGGUUAAGUAAGUGCUGAAUCCCCAAAGUAAGGCUCUUUCUUUAACGAGCAUAUUCCUUCUGUCUAGCACAUAUGUGCAGGCAAACAUUUAGUUCAUUGGCUGGCACAUCUUUUUGCCAGUGGGAAGAACAUUUCCUGGCUCAUGUAAGUGAACACUGACUAUCUGCAGAUACUUUUUUAAAAAGCGUGCAAUCCACCAGUCACAUCUGUUGUGAAACUUCCAUUCAUUUCAUAUGAUAUGUGCUGGGCUUUGUUAAAAUGAAUGGAAGUCAUGCAGCAGUCAUGCUUGGUAGGCUGUUUCCCCAUGAAAUUAAACAUGUGUGGCCUUAAAUCUUAGUGGUUUAUUUUCUUUCUCUCUCGCUCUGCUUCUUUGAGGAAAACAGUUUCUGAACCGGAUAUUCCUAAAACCUUGCACUGAAUUUAGAAAAUAUGUUGGCAUUAUUUUUGAAUGGUUGGUGCAAUUAAAUCUACGUAUCCUGUAUGAGCCAUACAUCCUAACAAUCCUCCUAGACGUUAUGAUUUCUGAAGAAAACAGUAAGCUAUUAGUUGGUUGCACCAUCAUUCUUGAUGAAAUUAAGGAGCCACUGAAUACAAGUAGAAUCUCUGCUUGAUUUUCAUUCCAUUUAAUAACAUGGAAUAAUAAAUCUGUACAAAAUCUGUAUAGCGUAGAUAAUCCAUGUUCAUGUAUGAUUUAAAAGUUUGUCCUUUAACUACCAAUGAAAUUUUCAACCAUUUGAGUUUGUUUAUUUGUUUGUUUGUUCAAAAAACAAAACUCCUGGGAGUUUCUUUAGCACAUAUGACAAAUGUUGCACUUGUGAACUUGGACAACUCAACAUGUUUCUUUUAACAAAGUUGUUGUCCUAGUAAGGGACCAGGGUCUGGACACAAUCUUCUGCAAUGUUCUUUGAUAUCUGCACCAAGUAAAUGAAAAAAAAAAAAGGCUAUGAAGUAGAAUAUUUAUUUCUAUGCCGUGUGCACAAAGAGCUUUAAGGAAAAUUGUGCCUUCUGGGUCUUUUACUGUCAGGUCUUUACCUUAAUUCUGCAACUGAAUACUUGAAGUAGGAAAUAAACUAGGAAAACAUAGGGUCCUUAAAAACAAAACUGUAUAGAUAAAUAUUUAUAUAUACAUAUAUGUAUGUAUGUGUGUGUGUGUGCCAAAUUUGUCUCAAAUAUUAUUUGGGGUUAUUGUUCCUAACUUUUAUCAAGGCCUAAGACUUAGACCCAGUAUAAGAAAAUUUUCUCUAGUAUUGUUUUGUUUUUCUUUCCAUUUGUCAUGGAAUUCUACAAUGUGUGGGGGGAGGGAUCUUUUCAAAUAUAUAUAAAUAUAUAUAAAAAGAAUCUCUGGGUUUACAAUAAACACUGUGACAUUGGACAGAGAUUUUAUUUGAGCAAUGUUUGGUAGUUUACUUCCCCCUUAAAAUGUUUAAAAAAAUCAAAUAAACCUUUUGGUUAAUACUUAAGAGUAGUCUUGUUUUAUUGUAGGGUCAAGCUUGUACUGCACAUUCUUUCAUUUACAUGUACAGAAUGAAUUUUGUAUUUAAAUGAAUUUUAUGUAACCAGUAUGCAUGUAAAUGCACAUUGACCUUUAUUUGAAAGUGGGUUUGGUUUUCUUUUGAAGUAGUAUUCUAAAAAGACUUCAGAUGUGUCACAACAUGUACCUGUAUUUUUCUUUGGUGUAGAGUGGUUGUUUGAAUGUAAUGUUAUGCAACAAGGGGUCCGUGUUCCCUAUUUAUCUUUGAUCCUCAUUUGAUAGUGCUUCUUGUAAUAAUUUUCUUCAAGUGAGUGGCAUGUUCUGGAUUGUGAACUUGACAUGUGGUUAAGGAUAUUGAUAUGAAACUAAGGAAUCCUUAGAAAUUAUCAGUGGGCAUGUUUUAGAGCAGUCAUUGUAAUAUUAAUGUCUUGUAGAAGUGUUAAGUACUACGGUAUAACACUGUUAUCAUGUGUAUGAGAAGUGCUUGAUGUUGAUUGGCUUGUUUAUAUUCAUCAAAUAAAUCUGGUUUCUUUCUGAACAA